rnacentral:rRNA from 1 species
UACGUAGGGUGCAAGCGUUGUCCGGAAUUAUUGGGCGUAAAGAGCUCGUAGGCGGUCUGUCGCGUCUGCUGUGAAAACUCAGGGCUUAACCCUGAGCUUGCAGUGGGUACGGGCAGACUAGAGUGCGGUAGGGGAGACUGGAAUUCCUGGUGUAGCGGUGAAAUGCGCAGAUAUCCGGAGGAACCCCAGAGGCGAAGGCGGCCCCCUGGCUCGUACCUGACGCUCAGCCACGAAAGCAUGGGGAGCGAACGGG